rnacentral:lncRNA from 1 species
AGGUCUGUAAUGACUGCCAUUAAAUCCACACAGCCAUUUACCCCUCCUCAGUACUUUCUGUUUACUUUAGGGCAAUUUACCAUAACACUUAGCCAUUAAAAACAGCUGUACCUAAUGUUAGGGCAAGGAUGGCCUAUGACAUGUUUCAAAAUCUAAGCAGGCACACAUUCAAAAUUUUUGUUACAAAGGCUGCUCAAGGUCUUUAUGAUUGCCUCUACUUUGGUAUCAGCAAAAGGUAGCACUAUUUUGGCUAGAUAAUCUGCUAUUUAGGACUCAAAAUGUUUGUGCUGAGAGAUUUUACUCUCAAACGGGUAAAAGCAUUUCAUUUUACUUUUUGCUGUUUAAUUGAUUCGAGAGAAGCUUUAUGAGGAAGACAUUUAAUUGAUGGAAUCCCACUUACUAGUGUAUGUUGAAAAGUUGUUAACAGGGAGAUUGUUUCACACCUAAACGAUGGAUACAUAUGGAUGCUGCACUACCGGUUUUGGUUUUGAGUGGAAAAAAGUUAUUUACAAUCUUGUCCGCGAGGUGGCAGGACAAGGUAACUAAAGCUGCGUUGAUCCCUUGUCAAGUUGGAAAGCAGGGACAAGAACAGCUUUCAAUAAUUAAUAGACCCGUUACGCGCCGACACUGACUGAUAGAGCAUCAGACAUGUAAGCUCAACAAGAGGUCGUCAUUGUGGUGUAUUGACAGACAUUUAUAAUACCUGAAAAAAAAAAAAAAAGAGGAACGAAGGUCCUAAAGCACCCUUGGUACACUAGUGUAUUUCAAUGCAUGGAGCAAGGACAGUGACAUCUCCCAGGGUAUUGUCAAUCAAGGAGUACUUCGACAAAGCCAGACAACAGAGACCAUUGUAAUCCCAUUGGAGGGGAAAGAAAAAAAAAAAAGAAAAGAAAAAAAAAAAAAAAAAGCAUAACAAGGCUUUGUCUUGGCCUUCAGAACAGGCACAUCUGUGUGUUUCUCUGACUGCUGCAAGCUAAGGGGAUAACAUGGGUUGAUCAAACCCUAAUGGGAACUGAUACAAAUUGGAUGCUAAUUCCAUUGGCCCCUCUUCAUCAGUGAAGUCAUACAUGCCAAGUGGCCCUUCUCAGGAAAAGAAGCUCCUACUUUCCAUGCUCAUCUAAAAGAUAUAGGUUGCAAAAGGCUGGGUUUCCCAGGUAAGCUAUCUAACCAUGCUUCCUGCUGGGAAGCUUCUGUGAAGAUAACAAGACAACAGAGUAGCUAGCUCUCACCCUCAGGGGUGUCUUAUUUAGUAAGAGCCUGUGAUUGACAGAUGUUAAGAAGAAUUGACAGGACAUUUUACAUCUGUUUAGUGUCUUGACUGUCACCCAUUCCUUCUCACACUGGCUAUUGUCAUUCUCCUAUAUCCAGGAAUCCUACUGCUGCCAAUGCAAAUGUCAGACCACUGUGGAGCUAUAGUGCAAUGCAGCAUACAUUAUACAAGAAAUGAAAAGUGGAUCAGGGUCGUUGCAUAGGGAAAUGCAAUGUUUCC